CCCCCGUUGGUGACUCCUGGGGACUGAGGGCUUGCUGCAGGUCACCAAAUAUGGACCAGUGUCACGAGGUUCUGAUGCCACAGCAACCCCCACUGUGACCCUCCUCCCACUCCGGGCUCACCCAUUGUGUCAUCGUUGCUCCCUGGGAAGGGGAUGGGGGGAACAGGGUGAGCGCAAAGUAAUUUAAGCAGAAGGAGGUACCAGUGGGCAAAUCAUCGCCCCCAGGGACUGGAAACAUCUUGAAAUGACACUGUGGAGUUGUCUAAUAAAAUUGCCAUCUAGGAGAAGUCCCUGGACCCUAAGGACCCUGGGCCCAAGCAAACACUGCAUCUGCCAUCCGACGAGAUCCCUCCUUCUCUAAUGAUCCCCCGACUCCUUCUCUCAGGUCCUCCGCCAAGGCUAAGAGUGCCAUGCCCCUCACUAAGGCUCCAAAGACCAGUGAACCCUUAUGGGUCAAAUGGGACCAGAAGGCCCAGAAGAGUGGCCUGAGACAUGAGAUUUAUGCUGUCAAUGGCAACACCUACGUUGGAGAAUGGAAAGACAACAAGAAACAUGGAAAAGGAAUCCAGAAAUGGAAAAAGAGUGGAGCCAUCUACCAAGGAGACUGGAAGUUUGGGAAAAGAGAUGGAUACGGGACCCUCAGCCUUCCCGACCCUGUGAAAAAGUACAAGAAGGUCUACUCUGGCUGGUGGUCGAACGACAAAAAAUGUGGCUAUGGUAUCUGGUACUAUGGGCCCCAGGAAUACUAUGAAGGAGAGUGGGAGGACGGCCUCCGGAGCGGAUGGGGCCGCAUGUACUAUGCCAAUGGAGACAUCUAUGAAGGCCAGUGGCUGCUGGGCAAGAAAGAUGGGGAGGGCAUGCUCCGCCUAAAAAAUGGAAACCGCUACGAAGGUUGCUGGCAGAAUGGAAUGAAGAAUGGGCCUGGCCGCUUCUUCCAUCUAGACCACGGGCAACUCUUUGAGGGCUUCUGGGUAGAUGAUGUGCCCAAAUGUGGGACCAUGAUUGACUUUGGUCGAGAGGAAGCCCCAGAGCCCACCAAGUAUCCCAUUCCAAAGGUUGAGCUGCUGGAUCCUGAUAAGGUGCUGGAAGAAGCCGUAGCCAUGUUCAUCCGGGAAGAAGAGUGAAAGCAUACGUAGAAGCAACAACAGGGGCUGAAUCAGUGGAAGCAAUGCGCUCCAGUCUUAAAGGAACGAGCAUAGGAAGUCCGAUAACCUGGGCCUCAUCCCAGCUCUGCCAACAACUCACUGGGUGACUCCGGAUAAGGAAAUUGGCUCAAAGAGGGCAACUAAUUUGCCCAAAGUCCCAGAGCAGAGGAGGGCAGGACUAGAACUCAAGUCUCCAGAUUCUGAGCCUGGGGGCUGUGUUCACUGAACAUCGAGAUGUACGCCCCCCUGCACCCCUUUUCGUCCAGAGUAUUUCGUGAAGAGCGUUUUGUGGGAUUUUUCUUUAAUCCAAGUAAAAAUUUGGUCUUCAAAAUUUCCUAACA